GCCGGCGUUGCAGAGGGAUGCUCGGAGGAAGCUCCGGGAGGGAGAGCCGCGUCCACUCCUCUUUCCAGACUAUGAUGGGGCCCAGGGACCCCUCCCCUCCGACUGAGCCCCACAGACCCCCUACUCAGGACAGAAGGGGAAAGCUGAGCUCCUGCUGGCCCAGGCAUCAGAAUUCCUCAGGGAGGAAAAGUUGCCUAUCUGUUGGGUCAGAUUUCUGAAGACUGAUGAGGCCCAUUUUCCGGCUGGAGUGAAAUGACAUGAUCUCAGCUCACUGAAACCUCUGCCUCCCAGGUUCAAGCAAUUCUCCUGCCUCAGCCUCGCGAGUAGCUGGGAUUACAGAUAUCCUUCGAGUUGGAUUUCGACUGGGUUCUGCCAAUGGGAUGUAUCCAUGCGAGAUUCUGGAACUAACAUCAGAGAGAGUCCAAGCUUCUAACUUUUAUCAGCGGCAGUGACAAUAGUCAAGCAGCAUUGAUGACAAAUGGCAAGAGUUUAGAAAGUACCAGUGACGUGCCUGAUAGAAUCUCACCACAAGAUGGAAGCCAACUCGUCAGAAGCCUGGAAAGCCCACCCAGCGUGGGACCUCUGUGGGUCCAGGAUCUUGGAAUGGCAUCCCAUGGUUCAAUCUUCCGGAUUCAACCACAUAAAUUUACCCCACCCAUGUCGUGGACCCAAGCUUCCUACCAUGUAUCCUUAGCUUAAAUGCAAGAUAGUACUAUUUUGUUCAUCUUGAUUGGAGUGAGAAAUGAAUAGGUCCAUGCACAUAUAUUUCUUUUACCACAACAAGAUGAUGAAGAAAUAAAUCCAUAAUAUCGAUA